GGGGACGCGUGCGCAGUGCGCGGGCUGGCCGUCGCGGACGCCGCUCCAGGCAGCCGAGCCUCUGUGGGAGCCGGGGCCGCGGCGGCGCGGGUGCUCCGGGCCGAGGCCGCGUGUAAUGUUCAAGCUCAGAAAUGCCUUAUGUGGAUCGUCAGAAUCGGAUUUGUGGUUUUCUAGACAUUGAAGAAAAUGAAAACAGUGGGAAAUUUCUUCGAAGGUACUUCAUACUGGAUACCAGAGAAGAUAGUUUCGUGUGGUACAUGGAUAAUCCACAGAACCUACCUUCUGGAUCAUCACGUGUUGGAGCCAUUAAGCUUACCUACAUUUCAAAGGUACCAAAGCAGUCAGACUCACAGCCUAAUUCUGAUAACCUAAGUCGCCAUGGUGAAUGUGGGAAAAAGCAAGUGUCUUACAGAACUGAUAUUGUUGGUGGCGUACCCAUCAUUACUCCCACUCAGAAAGAAGAAGUAAAUGAAUGUGGUGAAAGUAUUGACAGAAAUAAUCUGAAACGGUCACAAAGCCAUCUUCCUUACUUUACUCCUAAACCACCUCAAGAUAGUGCGGUUAUCAAAGCUGGAUAUUGUGUAAAACAAGGAGCAGUGGUGA
rnacentral:sRNA from 1 species